rnacentral:rRNA from 1 species
UACGGGGGGAGCAAGCGUUGUUCGGAUUUACUGGGCGUAAAGGGCGCGUAGGCGGCGCAACAAGUCACUUGUGAAAUCUCCGGGCUUAACCCGGAGCGGCCAAGUGAUACUGUCGUGCUAGAGUGCGGAAGGGGCUACUGGAAUUCUCGGUGUAGCGGUGAAAUGCGUAGAUAUCGAGAGGAACACCUGCGGCGAAGGCGGGUAGCUGGGCCGACACUGACGCUGAGGAGCGAAAGUGUGGGGAGCGAACAGG